rnacentral:rRNA from 1 species
CAGGGAAUCUUGCGCAAUGGGCUAAUAGGCCUGACGCAGCGACACCGCGUGGGGGAUGAAGGCCUUAGGGUCGUAAACCCCUUUUCUCGGGGAAGAGAGAGGACGGUACCCGAGGAAUAAGCUUCGGCUAACUACGUGCCAGCAGCCGCGGUAAUACGUAGGAAGCGAGCGUUAUCCGAAUUUACUGGGCGUAAAGGGCGAGUAGGCGGCUCAUCAAGUCUCAUGUGAAAUCUCCCGGCUCAACUGGGAGGGGUCAUGGGAAACUGGUGGGAUUGAGGGCAGUAGAGGAAAGUGGAAUUCCCGGAGUAGCGGUGAUAUGCGUAGAUACCGGGAGGAACACCAGAGGCGAAGGCGACUUUCUGGGCUGCACCUGACGCUGAGGCGCGAAAGCAUGGGGAGCGAACCGG